rnacentral:rRNA from 1 species
GAGUGACCGGGAAGAGCUCAAAUUUAAAAUCUGGCGCUUUGCGUCCGAGUUGUAAUCUAUAGAGGCGUUUUCCGCGCCGGUCCGCGUCCAAGUCCCUUGGAAUAGGGUAUCAAAGAGGGUGAGAAUCCCGUGCUUGACGCGACUGCCGGGGCUAUGUGAUACGCUCUCAACGAGUCGAGUUGUUUGGGAAUGCAGCUCUAAACGGGUGGUAAAUUCCAUCUAAGGCUAAAUAUUGGCGAGAGACCGAUAGCGAACAAGUACCGUGAGGGAAAGAUGAAAAGCACCCCGGAAGGGGAGUUAAAAAGUACGUGAAAUUGUUGAAAGGGAAACGAUUAAAGUCAGUCGUGCGUUGGGUGUUCAGCCUCACGGUGUAUUCACUCUUCGCGGGUCAACAUCGGUUUGGGGCGGGGGAAAAGGGUGGCAAGAAAGUGGCUCCUCGGAGUGUUAUAGCUUGCUGUCGCAUACCCCGCCACAGACCGAGGAUCGCAGCUCGCCUUUUAGGCCGGGGUUCGCCCACGUUCGAGCUUAGGAUGUUGGCAUAAUGGCUUUAAACGACCCG